UACGGAAGGCAGCAGUGGGGAAUAUUGCACAAUGGGCGAAAGCCUGAUGCAGCUAUGCCGCGUGUAUGAAGAAGGCCUUAGGGUUGUAAAGUACUUUCAUCGGGGAGGAAAAACAAAACUAAUAAUUUUAUUUCUUGACGUUACCCGAAAAAGAAGCACCGGCUAACUCCGUGCCAGCAGCCGCGGUAAUACGGAGGGUGCUAGCGUUAAUCAGAAUUACUGGGCGUAAAGAGCACGUAGGUGGUUUUUUUAAGUCAGAUGUGAAAUCCCUGGGCUUAACCUGGAACUGCAUUUUGAAACUGAAAUACUAGAGUAUCGUAGAGGGAGGUAGAAUUCUAGGUGUAGCGGUGAAAUGCGUAGAUAUCUGGAGGAAUACCUGUGGCGAAAGCGGCCUCCUAAACGAAUACUGACACUGAGGUGCGAAAGCGUGGGGAGCGAAACAGGGAUUAGAUAC
rnacentral:rRNA from 1 species